rnacentral:SRP_RNA from 1 species
GCCGGGCGUGGUGGCUCAUGCCUGUAAUCCCAGCAUUCUGGGAGGCCGAGGCGGGUGGAUUACUUGAGGUCAGGAGUUCGAGACCAGCCUGGCCAACAUAGUAAAAUCCUGUCUCUA